UGCAAUUCUUAACCGAAAGCUGGUGAUCAAAAUGGUUGAAGGCAGUACCCAAGAAAGUACAUUUACAAAGUUGUGAGAAGUAGCCUAGCCUAUAUAACCUGAAGCUCACCCAAUAUGCAGUGUGUUCUGCUCUGUCAAUAACAACUCUGUAUGGCUGGUCUGACCUCAGUGGAAGUUGUUCGUUUAAAUGGUUUCGGGACAUUGAAGUAAAACAACACGAGAAUGUCCCACCAAGAGUGAAGGGCUGCCUGUUUGCUUCAGAUUCCCAGUCCUCCUCGCUGAUGAUUUCUGAAGUCCUUACGCAGUCACCCCAGUCUUCAACCUCAGUUUGUACAGAUGAGAUGCCAUACACAGGGGAUCCGACAGAAGACAGCAGACAGAAUUCGUCGAUCUAUUUGAAAUGUCAUUGUUUAUUUGAAAAAAGAUACCUAUCCACA